rnacentral:rRNA from 1 species
UACGUAGGACCCAAGCGUUAUCCGGAUUUACUGGGCGUAAAGAGUUGCGUAGGUGGCAUGUUAAGUAAAUAGUGAAAUCGUGUGGCUCAACCAUACAUCCAUUAUUUAAACUGGCAAGCUUGAGAGUGAGAGAGGUAGAUGGAAUUACUAGUGUAGGAGUGAAAUCCGUAGAUAUUAGUAGGAACACCGAUGGCGUAGGCAGUCUACUGGCUCAUUUCUGACACUAAGGCACGAAAGCGUGGGGAGCAAACGGG